AUUUGAAAUCUAUUUAUUAAUUAAAUAAAUCGAGUUGUAAUCUGUAGAAGGCUGGAUGGUCGAAAUCUUUCUGAUUUAAAUUUUUUGGAAUAAAAUAUCAUAGAGGGUGAGAAUCCCGUGAUUAUCGGAAAAAUGAGAUCGCUUAAUUCACCUUUCGACGAGUCGAGUUGUUUGGGAAUGCAGCUCUAAAUGGGUGGUAAAUUUCAUCUAAAGCUAAAUAUCUGCCAAAGACCGAUAGCGAACAAGUAGAGUGAUCGAAAGAUGAAAAGCACUUUGAAAAGAGAGUUAAAAAGUACGUGAAAUUGCUGAAAGGGAAGCGCUUGCAAUUAGACUUGAUAAAUAAAUUCGGUCAAUUUAUUUUAAUUCGACUUAUUUUUUAUCUAUCAGGCCAGCAUCAGUUUGAUGGGAUUUAUAAAAUUAAAUAAAAUGUAGCAAUUAAUUUUAUUAAUUGUGUUAUGUUAUUUAAAUAAUAAUUCCACAUCNNNNNNNNAGACUGAGGUCU
rnacentral:rRNA from 1 species